rnacentral:miRNA from 1 species
UUGAGGUUUGAGCUACUGGCUACC